AUGGGGAACAAAACAUUCGGCGAGCUGUGCCUUUGGCCCUUGGUCUCAUAUGUAUAUCAAAUCCGAAGGUGACUGUAAUGGACACCUUGAGCCGGCUUAGUCAUGACACAGAUUCGGAAGUUGCCAUGGUAGCAAUUAUAUCGUUGGGACUGAUUGGUGCUGGAACUAAUAACGCAAGGAUAGCUGGGAUGCUUCGGAACCU